rnacentral:rRNA from 1 species
UGGGGAAUCUUGCGCAAUGGGCGAAAGCCUGACGCAGCGACGCCGCGUGGGGGAGGAAGGCCUUCGGGUUGUAAACCCCUUUGGCCCGGGACGAACGACACGAUUCGUCGUGUGUGACGGUACCGGGAGAACAAGCACCGGCUAACUCUGUGCCAGCAGCCGCGGUAAUACAGAGGGUGCGAGCGUUGUCCGGAAUCACUGGGCGUAAAGGGCGCGUAGGUGGUCUUGUGCGCGUGCCGUGAAAGCCUGGGGCUCAACCCCAGGUCGGCGGUGCGAACGGCGAGACUGGAGCAUGCGAGAGGCAGGCGGAAUUCCGGGUGUAGCGGUGGAAUGCGUAGAGAUCCGGAAGAACACCGGGGGCGAAGGCGGCCUGCUGGCGCAGUUGCUGACACUGAGGCGCGACAGCGUGGGGAGCAAACAG